UCUCAUUGAAUUUUAAAUGAGGGGUAAAGAGAACAGGUGCAGCUUUUGGUGUUAAACAAAACAUUUUCUAUGCUGCAUCUCCAAUCAGGAUUCAUAAGCCUGGAUUAAUGGGAUUUAUGUAACUCAAGCAGAAUAGGGACUGCUAGGCAAAAACUUUAUUCUUUGAAUUUCACAAAAACUGGUGAUACAUGCACUAUAUGUUUAAUUAAAAAAUGCAUCUGUCUGCAGCACUUUCUACACUUUUACUUGUUGUGUGCAAUGUGUCUAUUUUAUUUCUAUUUCUAUUACAGAACAUUACUGUCCAGGUUGUGAUGUUAUAUGUGAAGAGUUUUUGCAGUGCUUAGCAAAGUUCUGAAUUCCUAAGACUGGACUUUGGAGUGGUCAGGUGGCAUUUCUGCAAAAGCUUUCCAACAUCUCUUCCGGUGUUCAUUGCCUCCUUUGAAAAUCAUGGUUCAUUAGAACUCUAACACAACAGCUGUUUAUGAUCAUUUGAAUGAUAUGAUUUAUAGGCAAUGAGUGUUAGAAACAGAAACAUUCUGAACUCUUUGCAAUGCUCAACAGAUUUUGAACUGCCACAGUAAAACAGAGGUGCCAGGUAAAGGAGAUUGUUUAUGCAUUUAAUAACAAUUGGUGCAACUCAAGAGACCACGCAUCAAAAACAAACAAAAAUGGUGUCAUAACUUUAAAAGGUGAAAUUCUGUUUGCCUGAAUGAACCAAAAAGUGCUCAGGAAACUUUUAGCAGCUUGUGCUCAUGCUGCCAUUACUACUGUGUAAUUUUUGUUGUUGUUGUUUAAUAUCAGAAGUCCCUUUGUGGUCAGGCAUUCUCUUUAGUUACCAUUAGCUGAACAAUGAAUAACAGGUGGCCAAAGGGCAAUGGAAGCAGGAGCACAGGUAGGAACAAGGCAUUUAAACAGCCUGAAGUAUGGUGAGCGUUAGAAUUCUGUAAUCACUGAGAAAAUGAAUAAAUGAACACCCUGGAGGCCUACCAAGGGCAGGCACAUUCGGGGCGCAUGCAUUGCUGCAGCAGGCAGUGCAGAGGCCAGCCUGCCGCCAUGCUGCGGGCGCCAUUUUGUGUGGGGUGGGCAGUGCGCCCUGAGGGCGGGGUGCCAGCAGCUGCCUCAGAGCGCGCUGGGUGCUUCUAGAAACUUCCAUGGAGAAUUACUCAGAUAUUACAGCAUGAAGCUCUGUGCAUGCUCCUAGGCUGGGAUGUGAAGAAGAGGCUUGGACCUGCUAAUGAACCUCUAAAAGCAUGUGUAUUCUUGGAAACCUGUUUAACCAAUAACAUUUGAACCUGAAAUGCCAGAUUCAUGUCCCAACAAACUGAUUUGGUGAAUCCCUUAAACUGCAGCAGUGAUGAUGGCUCAUCCUUGGCAGAAACAUGCUGAGAAGUAGUUGGGAAUCCCCUGUUCAGGCGCUGCAGCCUGAGGAACUUCGUGUAAGCGUGUAAGAAGUGUGUAAGAAGUGCCUCUGAGGUGAGGCAAAACCUCUUUGUUUUUUUAGCAUACUUUUACGGCUGUACAUGCUCAGAAGUACAUUUUGGCAUGGAAGUGCUACAGAAUGAGGGGUGCAAUCCAGCUUACCCUGGAAGGGUCCCCUGGUGGCGGUGCGCUCGUCCUGCAGCUUCCAGCCCUUGGAACAGUUCUGACACAUCUCUGGCUGGGGGAAGACAGUAUCUGUUUCCAUUACAACUGACCUCUCUGUGCUGGAGAGGAGCUGGUAAGGGACACAAGGUAGGUACCAAAACCUUUGGUUUCUCCUGGUAGAAGGACUCACUGUGCCCGGGGCUGUAUAGGAGGUGGGCAGCUCCCUGCAGACUCAGCUGAAAGCGACAGUCCUGCCAGGCACAGUGCUGCCCUGUUAGGCAUGGCUUUCUGUUGGUAAACAAAGAGGAGGAGUUUGACGGAUCUGUAAAGAGAAGCAAACGCAAAGAACUCACUUAUGAGAGAUUAAUGACUGUGUGCAGGGGAUGGCUUACCCAAGAUGGCAUGAUCAGCAGAUUGCUUGCAGAAACCACAAGCCCUGCCCGGUGCCCCUUCUCAUGACUGGGUUAGAAUGCUAAAUAUAACCAGGCUAUAUUUUUCUUAGGGAUAAAUGAAAAGCAGAGAGAAAAUUGAACUCUGUUUAUAUUAUGUGUGGCUUAGCCACACCUAAGUAAAUGCAACCUACUUUCACCCAUUUUGUUUUAGAGGAUUGCUGUGAGGAGGUUCUGUCCACUACAUUGAAAGUGGCAAAGCAGUGUGCUCUGGGGAGUACUGUUUGAGAGAUACUGCAACUGUGUGGGAGGGCAGGUCCCAAACAUCUGAGCUGGGGCUGAGGUGAUUUGAGGCUGCAUUCAGAGCUCUUCAGAAUACUGAAGUCUCAAAAAGAGAUUUAUUCUCAGAAGAUCAUGGGGUUUGGAUUGGGGAUGAGAGGACUCUGGUGAUCAUAUUUUUAUUUCUAGAAACUAGUAAUAUAUAUUCUCAAUGAUUGAGUGGCCUAUGAAAGUACAUUGGAAGCUGGUGGCAGCUGGUGGCUGGAAAAUUAACACAGUUCUGGGGAAGUGCGCUAGUCUAAAAGUCAUUUAUACAAAGAAAAUAAGAUGUCACUAUUGUUCAUGCUUUUUUGAACCCCAUAAUUUUUCCUUCUCUAAAAUGCUUAUUCUUUCCCUUGAUGCUUUCUACAUUCCUCUCUCUUUCCCAGGCACCCAGGUAGAGCUCUCUCACAUGGUGAUGGUUAUACAUCUAAUGCUGAUCCUAACUUAGUGGAAUCUGUCUCCAAGCAAAUAAGACUGGCAGCAAGGCUGGGAGUGCAAUCACCUGCUGACAUAAUCCCUGGACUCUUCUUAAAGGAAUUCUAAAAAGGGAAACUCAGGAAUGCCUACCUGACUGUCCCAGAGAACUGCCAUCCAAAGGAGCAGCCUAC